rnacentral:tRNA from 1 species
GUCCCGGUAGCUCAGUUGGAUAGAGCAAGACACUCCUAACGUCUAGGCCGCAGGUUCGAUUCCUGCCCGGGACG